AACAACCGACGGCAGCACACCUGCCGACGCUAAAGUAGGGAAGUGGCCACUUGGCGCCGUCUUGUAUUCCUAUGCUGUUGUGGACCCCACCUUCUUCUCACCUGGCCCCUUAAUACCCCCUCUCGUUGCUGUCGCGUGUGGUGUGGGGAUGGGUGCGGCGUGCUUGGAUGGACAGGUUUCUUCGCACUUUGUGUGAUGGUACGUCGGUUGCCCGCAGGCGUCUGUUGAGAGCAGGGGCGGAGGCAACGAAGAGGGAGAGAGAGAGAACAGCCUCAGCAGCGUCAUCCGCGACGCCAGCUAAUCGAGCAACGUAAUCGAGAUUUGCACACAUACAUCACCAUAAUCAGAGGAGCGCGCGCGCGCACACACACACACUCUUAGCAUGCCCCGAGGUCGCAGUCAUGGGCGUGGGCGCGGCGGGCGUGGUAGAGGAGCGGCAGGGGCGCCAGAAGACGACCCCGGCGACGAGAUAGUGACAUCCUCUCCGCGGCCUCUCGACGCUGAGGCGGUCGUUACGGUGCUCUCAACGAUGCGCGGUCGCGGUGCACGCGGCAGGGGACGGGGUCGAGGCCGACUAGGACGUGGCAGCACUACCGGUGGUGCGCGUGGCGAACGUGGCCGCGGGGCGGUGUCCCUCCAGAGCGUCAGCGGUACCUCAGAGGCCUCGAAGUCGAUGAGCGCCGUUAGCCCUUCGACUUCGCCUGCGCGGUCGACGCUGGAAGCGUCUCCACUGUCUGCGUCUCCGGCAGCACCUGUCGUCGUCGUCGUGCCGCAGGGUCGCAUGAUUACUCGCUCUCUCCUACGCAGCACCGCCUCUCUGCUCCUCGACAACGACAGCGAUGCCGCCGGUAGCCCACUAGUGCUGCCGCUCAACGGCCGGCGCCGGCGACGGACGGAAUCUGCGGCGGCCAACGCAUCGUCUUUCUCACCUAACUUGCCUGUACCACGGGAUGACACGCUCGGUAGCUCGGCGCUCGCCUCUACCCGCAUCUCCUCUGCCUCCUUGCCCGCCUCCGCGAUGGCGGACGACACGGCGGCCACGGCCGACAGCAGUGGCAGUCGCCUCUCCCCCCUCUCACAGCGCGUCGUCAUCGGAGGCCUACUGCGGUGUGUUUGCAAUGCCUUCCUCGUGUCGCCCAGUGAGACGCUGCUGGAGUGCUGCCGAUGCCGCAACUGGUGCCACUCCGCCUGCGUCGGCGUCGACUACGAAGAGCUGCGCCUGCGCCAACGGCAGCGGGACUUUCUCUGCCCAUUCUGCACAGAGACGGCCACGCCGGCUUCCGCGCCGACGGGCGCAUCCAGCACCGCGGCAGACUCCCUGCCCACCGAGCCGCGCGCCUUUUCGUCGCCGCCGCUGCCGCCGCCGGGGUCGCAGAAGCCGGCCUCCAUUACGACGUCCUUGGGCGAGUCCAUCAAGGUCCUCUGCAGCCCAACCGCAGCGGUGGUCACAGCCGUGAAUGGCUUAGCUGUUGCUCAAACGGGCGGUAGUAGUGGCAGAGGAGACUCUACCGUAGCGGCUACGUCGGCGCUGCCUGUAUUGCCCCCAACCUCCACAAGCGGCUCUUCUUUGUCGAGCUACCCCUUGGUGAGUCGGCAGCCUCCGGCGCCACGCCAGCUGCCGCUAAAGCUGCGCGAGGUACCGGAUCGAUCCCCGCCUGCGCCACUCGCCGAUGAGCUGCGGCGCCUCAUCCGCAUGAUCGAGCACACAGUUCAUCAGCUUGGCUACAACAUGCUGCACCUGCCCGCGCACACGCUCACGGAGCAGCAGGUGACUGAGUGCCUAGGGUGCUGCGCGGAGGCCAUCCAAGACGCCACCUUCUCGGCCGACUACCCGGCCUACUGCCUAAAAGAGGUGCAAAACCGCCGGCACCCGUACGUGCAAGGCAUCGCGCUCCAGUCACAGGCCAACGGACGCAUCUGCUCCCUCAUCCUGUCCAGCGGCCGAGACCUCUAUGGCAACCUCAAGCCGACGAUCACACAGCUCAAGAGCUCGCUACAGCGCGGCCUCCUCGAGCCGUCUGCACUGACGCCAUUCAUGGCGGAGUGCAUGGCCAUUGCGGAUGUGGCCGACUUUGUGCACAUCACACUAAGUGCCACACAUGCCCAGCAUCAGCGCAAGGGUCUCGCGCGACUUCUGAUGACGAUGGAGCUGCUCAAGUGGAGCCUGCGGGGCCGCCACCGCGCGUUCCUCAACAUGGCCAUCGAAAAGCGCCUCGUGGACGGCGGCAGCCGGAUCGAGUUCGCGUCACCAGCCGCGUCGAAGCGGCUCUACGAGUCCUUCGGCUUUGCCGAGGUAUACCCACGCUACGACCCGGUGACCAGGAAAGAGCGCUGGACCGCGAAGGAGGCGGACAUGGGACGCGUGAUGGCGAAUUUGAACUUCGUCGAUCAUGUGCGUGCCGUGGCGGAGGCCAUACCAGCCAAGUACAAUGUCAGCGGGAGCCCGAACGGGGACGGCGUGGGUCAUGGAGGCGGGAAGGGCAUGGGCGAGAGCGCUGAAGAAAGGAGCUCGAUCGCCAGCAGAAAUGAAACCAGUCGCUCCCGAUCGGGCUGGCGCGCCGGCAACACACGCAAACGCGGUGGCAGUGCUGUCUCUAACGGUGGAGAUGACAGCGACUCGGGGCAGCGCAAUGGCGAUUGGAGCUGCACCAAGAACGACGCAGGAAAAUGAAGCUUCGACCUGCACUCUGUGUAAGCAUGUUCAAUUCUAGCGUUGGCGGCGGCGUGAAAGGAAUGCGGGGGGUGCGGUGGCAGGAAUGAACCGACUGCCUCGACUACAACCUUGCGUUGCCCUGACGACAAGCACGUG
rnacentral:misc_RNA from 1 species